AGUGAACGCUGGCGGUAGGCCUAACACAUGCAAGUCGAACGGCAGCACAGUAAGAGCUUGCUCUUACGGGUGGCGAGUGGCGGACGGGUGAGGAAUACAUCGGAAUCUACUUUUUCGUGGGGGAUAACGUAGGGAAACUUACGCUAAUACCGCAUACGACCUACGGGUGAAAGCAGGGGAUCUUCGGACCUUGCGCGAUUGAAUGAGCCGAUGUCGGAUUAGCUAGUUGGCGGGGUAAAGGCCCACCAAGGCGACGAUCCGUAGCUGGUCUGAGAGGAUGAACGGCACCCCUGAAAAUGAAACACGGUCCAAACCCCUGGGGGGGGCAACGGUGGGGAAUUUUGGAAAAUGGGGGAAAGCCUAAUCCAGCCAUACCGGGGGGGGGAAGAAGGCCUUGGGGUUGAAAAGCCCUUUUUUUGGGAAAAAAAAGCAGCAGGUUAAUACCCCGCUGUUUUGACGGUCCCCAAAAAAUAAGCCCCGGCUAACUUCGG
rnacentral:rRNA from 1 species